rnacentral:rRNA from 1 species
UGAGCAACCUGCCCCUGGCUCUGGGAUAACCCCGGGAAACCGGAGCUAAUACCGGAUACGAGACCGAUUGGCAUCUUUACGGUCUGGAAAGUUUUUCGGCCAGGGAUGGGCUCGCGGCCUAUCAGCUUGUUGGUGGGGUAACGGCCCACAAGGCGACGACGGGUAGCCGGCCUGAGAGGGUGACCGGCCACACUGGGACUGAGACACGGCCCAGACUCCUACGGGAGGCA